GAUGAACGCUGGCGGCGUGCCUAAUACAUGCAAGUCGAGCGAAUGGAUUAAGAGCUUGCUCUUAUGAAGUUAGCGGCGGACGGGUGAGUAACAGGUGGGUAACCUGCCCAUAAGACUGGGAUAACUCCGGGAAACCGGGGCAAAUACCGGAUAACAUUUUGAACCGCAUGGUUCGAAAUUGAAAGGCGGCUUCGGCUGUCACUUAUGGAUGGACCCGCGUCGCACUAGCUAGUUGGUGCGGUAACGGCUCACCAAGGCAACGAUGCGUAGCCGACCUGAGAGGGUGAUCGGCCACACUGGGACUGAGACACGGCCCAGACUCCUACGGGAGGCAGCAGUAGGGAAUCUUCCGCAAUGGACGAAAGUCUGACGGAGCAACGCCGCGUGAGUGAUGAAGGCUUUCGGGUCGUAAAACUCUGUUGUUAGGGAAGAACUAGUGCUAGUUGAAUAAGCUGGCACCUUGACGGUACCUAACCAGAAAGCCACGGCUAACUACGUGCCAGCCGCCGCAGUAA
rnacentral:rRNA from 1 species